GAUGAACGCUGGCGGCAUGCCUAACACAUGCAAGUCGAACGAACACACCGGGAGCUUUCGCUCUUGCCGGUGGCGGCUGACGGGCGGGUAACACAUGGAUCACAUACCUCUUUUACUGGGAUGAUAACGUGGGACAAGUUCUACUACUGCAUCAUAUAUCGUACCGGUUAGUGCAAGAGUUAUACACGCUUUUCGCGUUUUUAAUAGACGAAGCCGCGCCGCAUUAGCUAGUUGGUAAGGUAACGGCUUACCAAGGCUACGAUGCGUAGCCGACCUGAGAGGGUGAUCGGCCACACUGGAACUGAGACACGGUCCAGACUCCUACGGGAGGCAGCAGUAGGGAAUCUUCCGCAAUGGGAGAAAGCUUGACGGAGCAACGCCGCGUGAGUGAUGAAGGUCUUCGGAUCGUAAAACUCUGUUAUUAGGGAAGAACAAAUGUAUAAUUAACUAUGGACGUCUUGACGGUACCUAAUCAAAAAGCCACGGCUAACUACGUG
rnacentral:rRNA from 1 species